UGCAGCCCAGCUAAUCACCUCGCCAGCUCUGCUCAGCUCACCAAAGGUUGCACACAGCUGUCAAGAAGUUAUUUUUGAAAAAGGCAUCAAUUCAAUGUGCAGAAUGGAGAACGGGGAUAGCGAAGCCAGCUCAGCAAUCCAGUCCUAUUCCUUCAUAUACAUAGAAACUUUCCUCUAAUUCCUUGCCAGAAAUGGCCGUCAGAAACCAUUGGAUCGCAACACAAUCUGUUACUUCCAACUGGCUUCAAUUUGGAUUUAACUGCUUUGGGGAUCUGCAGGGAUCCAAAUUAAGGAGAUAUUUUCUGGUUUUCACUACAGUACUUUUCCACUUUUAGGAUUAUGAGAACUGAUUUGAAAUCAUUGAAUUCAUGGUUUCUUCCAAAAUUUCAACUUGCAAUUGCCUCCUUCAUUGUACACCUUCUGGAGAAAGCCAAUAUACUGUCAUUGCCACCUUGUUGAAUUCCAUGGCUACUAAGGUUAUCCUCCCAAUUUUGUUUAUGUUUGAGUUGUGGGUCAUAUUUUGCAGAAAAUCACAGUUGCACAACUGUUGCAUCCACUGGGAAUAAAUAAGUGUUUCUCUUGGAAAUAACCAUGUCUUUAUGAAAAUUUUUCAGCUUGACACUUUUGCUACUAUUCUAUUCAGCUCAGUGGCAGGAUCUUUGAUGAAUUAAUCUUUCUAUUGCUUUUUAAUUAAAUAAUUCAUUUUCUUGGGAGAUUAGCUACAGGUCACUCAUCAUUUUACUAUGUAAUUUGAUAUACGCUAGAUAAAGGGAAGAAAAUAAAACUAAAGGAAAACUUACUCAACUUUUGCAGAUGAGUAAUUAACUGACUAAUUAAAGGGCAUUCAAAGGAAAGCAGUAACAAACCAGAGGAUGGUAGAGGACAGGAAGGCCUGGAGGAACGUUGUCCAUGGGGUCGUGAUGAUCGGACACGACUUUGCAACUAAUAACAACAACAACAACAAAGAAGCAUUCAGAGGCAGAAAUGGAAGGAUGAAGGUUCUAAUAGAAGGUGCACAAAACCUCUGUUAAUUGUUUAUCUAUUUGGUUUUUAUUAGCCUGUAAGACA